UGAUUUCAUUUUCUUUCAUUGAAAAUGAUUUCAAUUUGAGAGCAAGUUUUCCUCAAUAGCGCUCCAAGGGUUCUUUUUUCCAUGGAAAUAUUUUCUGGUGGUAAAUUUCAAAAUGGAACAUUUCCAAUUAUCUUUAUAAUGUAUAACAUUAAGAUAAUAAUUUGAUAAAAGGGACUGAUCAGCAAUUAAUGUUGUUAAGUGAGAAAACGGAGAAAUGAAGAAGACAAUUGGUUUUUAAUGUACAACAACAAAUCUAUUAUAUAACUUUUUAAAGAUGCUAAAAUUCUAUUUAUAGAAUUUCAUUAAAGAUCUCUGGCAUUGUGCAAUUAAAAAAACAAGAGAUAACUGUAUUAUAAUCUAGCUAUAUUUCUUCCCUCUAAAAGUCUGAAUUUCCAUUCUUUGUGCUAUAGUUUAUACCAAUUGAUUUCUCUUGUAGGGCUAUUUCUCUCCAUAACUUUAGACCUACUUACAUUAUUCCUAGGUUUUUUAGUUGGUUUUUUUUUCUGAACAAAUUACUAUCAGAAUCUCAAAAUAUUGUAAUUUUCAGUAGAACUUAGCAGCUAUCUGGGUAAUACCAUGUCCCUUGUUUUGAUUUUUGUUCCGUUUCAAUUGUUUUGUUUGUUUGUUUUCAUUGUUUUGUUUACUGCUGCUUAUCAAGUGUACACUAGAGUCUUCCUUCAUUGUACAAAGUUGUAUAUAUAGAGAAGUAUAGAUAUAGAUAUAUAUAUAUAAAACAUCUUAUUUAACAAGUCAUGUGCAAUAUUUUGUCUUAUUGAUGUGUACAUUAAAGAAGAAGUUAGAUUUGAAAUUGUAGAAGUCUAACUCUCAUAGUUCAAAGGUCAAAUCUGUGAAAGAUGUUAACAGGUUGAUUUUCUCUUAAAAAUAUAACAAUGAAGGUAUAAAUUAAUAAAUUUGUUAAGAAACAUAAUCCAAAUGAAAUAAAAUACAAAUAGAAAAAUACUGAUAGAAAAUUUUGUCUUUAUAUAACAUCUGAUUUUUUUUUUUCAAUCAUCUGAGGUUUAUCUAAGAAAACUUUACUUUGAUAGUUAAUUUGAUGUUUAAUGAUUAUAAAUGUACUUUUGCAAUAAUAUACAUUUAUUUGUUCCAUUCAAUUUCCAGCACUUUUUUUUAUAUUUCAAUAAUGUUUCAGUCAGUCCUUUACAUACAUUCAUGCUAUAGUUUUGGUUUUUACAUUUUCUUUACUUUUCUUACAAGGAAUGUAUCAUUAUUGUGAAGUUUUUAAAUUAAAAUAUAGCUGAAAAGCACAGGCUUUAUAAAGACCAACUUUGUGACAAUUUUUUUCCCAUUAAUUUUGAGACCUACUAUAAUAUCAAAGAUUAAACAUAACAAUUAAAGGAGAAGGAUUCCUAAAAACAGAAAUGUCAAUUAGCCGUUUCAGAAUCUAAAGAAUCAUGGGUAAUUUCAUUGUUUGUAUCCCAAAAUGAAAAUAACGCCACGUCAUUGGUUAAAUUUUCAUUGUUUAUGAAAUUUUAACCAAUCAGGACGUUUUGGUGUACACUUUUGAAAAUAUUACCCAGGAUGCAUUAGAUUCUGAAAGGGCGAAUUGGAAAUAUUAUAAAAGAGUCAUUAUGUGUAUUCAGGAUUUUUUAAUUUUCAAUAAACAGUCGUAGGUGUUCGCUUUAUAAAUUAUUGCCAUUGUGGUGUUGUUUUAUGACUUUAUCAAAUAACUACACACUUUCACAGGAUUUUUUAAUCACAUUAUUUAAGUCUAAAUUAAGAAACAAACACAAAACCACAGAGGUAUCUCUUCAGUUACAUGAGUUUGUAAUCUGAAAUUAAAAAUAGAAAAACAAUAUCAGAAUUUUGUAUUUGUAUUGUAGGUUAAAGCUUAAUACCAGCUUCUUUCCCCUAUCUCAUAUCACCCUAACCAUAUAAUUAAAAAGAUAGUUGUGUGCUUACCAACUAGGAUAAAAAAAAGUUAGAUUUGAGCUUAAUUUGUUUUUAAAGGACAUAGAAUUGGCUUAGAACAAGUUUUAUUGGGACUCCGACAUCAUCUCUAUCUUUUCUGAUUAUUUAAUAUUUGCAGGCUCUGUAUUUGAAUAUUUUGAUUGUUUACAAACACAUUUCUGUAAGAGAUUUGAAAAAGUCUAUACCAAGUUGAAAUCUCAUUUUGAAUUUAAAAAAAAAAAUACAAUUAAAUUUAUGUAGUGCAAACCAACACAAACUAGAUAUGAAUUUACUGAAAUUUCAUGUGGGCAGAAAAUUGCCAGUGUAAUUUAAAUUUUCUGAGAUAAUAAAAAUAUGUUAUAUUUUAGCCUGCACAUAUCUAUAUCAGAAGAACCUUGUCCAUGUGGUUUAAUAUCCCAUCAUUACAAAGUCAUAUCUUCUGAGAAAUCAUUUAUAUCGUUCAUAUCAUCUAAUCAUUAAUUUUGCAAAUCAUUCCCUGUGAAUUUUGUGAAAAUUUAUUGUGAUAUUAGUGUAGCAUUAAUAAUAACACAACUUGAUCUACCAUGGCAUAAACAUGGUAUAUCUUUUCUCUUCAUUUUGCAUUUUUGCUCACCUUUAUAUUAGUAACGUAUUAAUGCAUAUGUGUAUACAGUAUUUACACAAAAUGUUAGGUGUUCUUUGGUAUUUCUUCACAAUUUUCAAUAUUUACAAAAGUAAAUUGGUUUGCUUUUGAAAUUCUGGAACCCAGAUCUCUGUGAAUGCAAAGAUUGCUACUCUGCAAUACAAAAACAGAAGAAAUAAAAUAUUCUUGUCAUGUCAAGCAUUAUUUGAUAAUUUACAGUAAUUUUCAAAAUUCUAAAUAAACCUAAAAUUGUGAUGAAGAACAAUAAAUCAGUACUGCCACAAUUAAAAAAAUUCUUGUACACUAUUUUCUUCAUACUUCAAGAAUUCUAUAUGAUAUUGAUAAAAGCAUUUUAAAAUGACAUAUGCAUUGUUCAUAAUCAGACUUGCAUGUAUUUGUAAUAUUUUAAUAUAUUUUACAAUGAAUAAGCAUAUUAAAGAAAUAUUACAUAUAGAGUUUUAUAUAUAGAAUAUUAUUUUUUGCGGUUUUUAAACUUCACAGAAACCAAGAAUCUAAAAACUUGUCAAAUUCACAUUAAGUUUAAAACAAGUAUUGUCUAUAAUUGCUUUUACAACACAAAUGUUAAUAUCUGAGAUGCAGGUUUAGAACAGCUGCCUAUAGCUAGCUUACACUUUGUUUGACAAAUUUUCAUAUUCUGUUUUGUUUAUGUAUGAAAACAUCAUUCUACUUCUUGCAGGAAGCCUACAAAUGGUUAAAAUGGAGAACCAUUUCAUUCUGAGGCUUUCAAUAUGUCUGUAGUUAUUGAUCAUUAUUAUUAAAUAAGUAAUUAGUUGCUAUAUGUGGCCAUAACAUUAAAGUUAUAUAUGAAUGUUAUUGUACAUUAAAUUUGUACAUUUUGUAUAGACUUGUGCUGUAAUAAUAAAUGCUGCUUACAAGGAAAUUAUUUCAAUUAUUGACAAGUCACCAUCUUUUAUCAAUUAAAACAUUUUAUGUCCC
rnacentral:lncRNA from 1 species